GGGGGUGUAGUUCAGUGGUUGAGAACAUGAUUUGUAUGUAUGAGGUCCUGGGUUCAAACCCCAGCAACAACA
rnacentral:tRNA from 1 species